rnacentral:rRNA from 1 species
GACGAACGCUGGCGGCAUGCCUAAUACAUGCAAGUCGAGCGGAGUGGAUGAGAAGCUUGCUUCUCUGACGCUUAGCGGCGGACGGGUGAGUAACACGUAGGCAACCUGCCUUUCAGUUUGGGAUAACUUCCGGAAACGGAUGCUAAUACCGAAUACAUCAUCUUCUGGCAUCAGAGAAUGAGGAAAGACGGCCCAAGCUGUCACGGGUAGAUGGGCCUGCGGCGCAUUAGCUAGUUGGUGGGGUAAUGGCCCACCAAGGCGACGAUGCGUAGCCGACCUGAGAGGGUGAACGGCCACACUGGGACUGAGACACGGCCCAGGCUCCUACGGGAGGCAGCAGUAGGGAAUCUUCCACAAUGGGCGAAAGCCUGAUGGAGCAAUGCCGCGUGAGUGAUGAAGGUUUUCGGAUCGUAAAGCUCUGUUGCCAGGGAAGAACGUCCGGGUGAGUAACUGCACCCGGAGUGACGGUACCUGAGAAGAAAGCCCCGGCUAACUACGUGCCAGCAGCCGCCGUAA